rnacentral:tRNA from 1 species
AGGGAGUUAGCUCAGUUGGUAGAGCAACGCCUUUACACGGCGUGGGUCGCAGGUUCGAGUCCUGUACUCCCUA